rnacentral:rRNA from 1 species
CAUCAGUAGCCACGGUAAUACGUAGGGUGCGAGCGUUAAUCGGAAUUACUGGGCGUAAAGCGUGCGCAGGCGGUUGUGUAAGACAGGUGUGAAAUCCCCGGGCUUAACCUGGGAACUGCGCUUGUGACUGCACAGCUAGAGUAUGGCAGAGGGGGGUGGAAUUCCACGUGUAGCAGUGAAAUGCGUAGAGAUGUGGAGGAACACCGAUGGCGAAGGCAGCCCCCUGGGCCAGUACUGACGCUCAUGCACGAAAGCAUGGGGAGCAAACAGGAUUAGAUACCCGGGUAGUCCCUGUCUCUUAUAA